rnacentral:rRNA from 1 species
GUGGGGAAUAUUCCGCAAUGGACGAAAGUCUGACGGAGCAACGCCGCGUGAGUGAUGAAGGUUUUCGGACUGUAAAGCUCUGUUGUUUAGGACGAAAGUGCCUGUUGCAAAUAGUUACAGGUAUUGACGGUACUGAACGAGGAAGCCACGGCUAACUACGUGCCAGCAGCCGCGGUAAUACGUAGGUGGCAAGCGUUGUCCGGAAUUAUUGGGCGUAAAGAGCAUGUAGGCGGGAAUCUAAGUCUGUUGUGAAAAUGCGGGGCUCAACCCCGUAUUGCGAUGGAAACUGGGUUACUUGAGUGCAGGAGAGGAAAGGGGAAUUCCCAGUGUAGCGGUGAAAUGCGUAGAAAUCAGGAGGAAUACCAGUGGCGAAGGCGGCUUUCUGGACUGACCCUGACGCUGAGGUGCGAAAGCGUGGGUAGCAAACAGGAUUAGAUACCCCAGUAGUCC